rnacentral:rRNA from 1 species
UACGGGGGGGGCAAGCGUUGUUCGGAAUUACUGGGCGUAAAGGGCUCGUAGGCGGCCAACUAAGUCAGACGUGAAAUCCCCAGGCUUAACCUGGGAACUGCGUCUGAUACUGGAUGGCUUGAAUCCGGGAGAGGGAUGCAGAAUUCCAGGUGUAGCGGUGAAAUGCGCAGAUAUCAGGAGGAACACCGGUGGCGAAGGCGGAUCUCUGGGCCUUACCCGACGCUCAGGUGCGAAAGCUAGGGGAGCGAACAGG